rnacentral:rRNA from 1 species
UGAGGAAUAUUGGACAAUGGAUGGAAAUCUGACCCAGCCAUGCCGCGUGAAGGAAUACAGCCCUAUGGGUUUUAAACUUCUUUUAUUAUAGAGUAACCGGAGGUACGUGUACCUCCCUGCAAGUAUAUGAUGAAUAAGGAUCGGCUAACUCCGUGCCAGCAGCCGCGGUAAUACGGAGGAUCCAAGCGUUAUCCGGAUUUAUUGGGUUUAAAGGGUGCGCAGGCGGAUCAAUAAGUCAGGGGUGAAAAAUUUCAGCUUAACUGGAAUCGUGCCUUUGAUACUGUUGGACUAGAGUAUAAUUGACGUGACUGGAAUGUGAUGUGUAGCGGUGAAAUGCUUAGAUAUGUCACAGAACGCCAAUCGUGAAGACAGGUCACGAAAUUAUUACUGACGCUCAUGCACGAAAGCGUGGGGAUCAAACA